rnacentral:lncRNA from 1 species
UCUCUAGUUGAUUGUGAAGUGGUGGUAGAUGGGUCGUCGGCCCGGAGAUGGUGUAAAGAUGCGGCGGAGUUGUGGUGUUGACCGGAACGGUUGUGGUGUCUCGAGGGUGGUGGCUCGAGGUUGUCGUAGGAAGUGAAUCGGAGGUCCGGGAAGCAGAAUAAGGAGAAGUAUGAUGUUAGAAGUCAGAGGUGGUGCAGGAACUGGAUGGAAACGAUCGGUGGUGACACAGGGUGGUUGACGGUGGCUUUGCGACGGCGCCGGUGAAGGUGGUGGUGUGGUGGAGACGGUGGUGGAUGGUGCAGACAGAGGUGGUGAUGCGGUGGUCGAUGGGUGUUGAUCGGAGAAAAGUGGUGAUGAUGGUUUAAAAGGGGUUGGGUUGGGUUUGUGUUUCAAAUUGAUUUGUGUGUUUGGGGAAAAACGAAAAGGUGUAGUUUGGGGCUGAGGCGGUGGUUGUUUGCAGUUGUGAUAAUAUGGUGGAAGUGUAAGAUGAUGAUGGUACGGUGGUUAAGGGGGAACGACGGUGAAGUGCGGUGGUGGUGACCGGAGCGAGGGGACGGCGGCGACAGGCGGUGACCGGUGGUUUACGGUGAAGUGGUGGUGUUUGAACAAUUUAUUACGGUUGUGAGUGAUGAUGAUGAUGGUGGGAAGUGUGGUAGCCGGAGAUGGUUCUUGAUACAGAUCUGGGUUUUACCGGCGGAAUCACGGCUAUGGAAAACGGUGACUUACCGGCGUAUUUAAUACGCCGGAGAACUUGA